UACGUAGGGUGCAAGCGUUAAUCGGAAUUACUGGGCGUAAGCGUGCGCAGGCGGUUAUAUAAGACAGUUGUGAAAUCCCCGGGCUCAACCUGGGAACUGCAUCUGUGACUGUAUAGCUAGAGUACGGUAGAGGGGGAUGGAAUUCCGCGUGUAGCAGUGAAAUGCGUAGAUAUGCGGAGGAACACCGAUGGCGAAGGCAAUCCCCUGGACCUGUACUGACGCUCAUGCACGAAAGCGUGGGGAGCAAACAGGG
rnacentral:rRNA from 1 species